ensembl:snRNA U6 U6 spliceosomal RNA
GUUCUCGCUUCGGCAGCACAUAUACUAAAAUUGGAACAAUACAGAGAAGAUUAGCGUGGCCCCUGCACAAGGAUGACACGCAAAUUCGUAAAGCGUUCCAUAUUUUA